UACGAGGGGGGCAAGCGUUGUUCGGAAUUACUGGGCGUAAAGCGCACGUAGGCGGCUUUGUAAGUUAGAGGUGAAAGCCCGGGGCUCAACUCCGGAAUUGCCUUUAAGACUGCAUCGCUAGAAUUGUGGAGAGGUAAGUGGAAUUCCGAGUGUAGAGGUGAAAUUCGUAGAUAUUCGGAAGAACACCAGUGGCGAAGGCGGCUAACUGGCCCAUUACUGACGCUGAGGCUCGAAAGCGUGGGGAGCAAACAGG
rnacentral:rRNA from 1 species